rnacentral:rRNA from 1 species
AACGAACGCUGGCGGCAGGCCUAACACAUGCAAGUCGAGCGAGCAUUUCGGUGCUAGCGGCGGACGGGUGAGUAACGCGUGGGAACGUGCCCUUUUCUGCGGAAUAGUCCUGGGAAACUGGGGGUAAUACCGCAUACGCCCUUUUGGGGAAAGAUUUAUCGGAGAAGGAUCGGCCCGCGUUGGAUUAGGUAGUUGGGGGGGUAAUGGCCCACCAAGCCGACGAUCCAUAGCUGGUUUGAGAGGAUGAUCAGCCACACUGGGACUGAGACACGGCCCAGACUCCUACGGGAGGCAGCAGUGGGGAAUCUUAGACAAUGGGGGCAACCCUGAUCUAGCCAUGCCGCGUGAGUGAUGAAGGCCUUAGGGUUGUAAAGCUCUUUCAGCUGGGAAGAUAAUGACGGUACCAGCAGAAGAAGCCCCGGCUAACUCCGUG